rnacentral:rRNA from 1 species
AAUAGAUACCCAGGUAGUCCAUGCCGUAAACGUUGGGAACUAGAUGUAGGGCCUGUUCCACGGGUUCUGUGUCGUAGCUAACGCAUUAAGUUCCCCGCCUGGGGAGUACGGCCGCAAGGCUAAAACUCAAAGGAAUUGACGGGGGCCCGCACAAGCGGCGGAGCAUGCGGAUUAAUUCGAUGCAACGCGAAGAACCUUACCAAGGCUUGACAUAUAGAAGAACACUGCAGAGAUGCAGGACUCUUUGGACACUUCUAUACAGGUGGUGCAUGGUUGUCGUCAGCUCGUGUCGUGAGAUGUUCGGUUAAGUCCGGCAACGAGCGCAACCCUCGUCCUAUGUUGCCAGCGGGUGAUGCCGGGAACUCAUGGGAUACUGCCGUGGUCAACACGGAGGAAGGUGGGGAUGACGUCAAAUCAUCAUGCCCCUUAUGUCUUGGGCUUCACGCAUGCUACAAUGGCCGGUACAAAGGGCGGCGAUACCGUAAGGUGGAGCGAAUCCCAAAAAGCCGGUCUCAGUUCAGAUUGGGGU